rnacentral:rRNA from 1 species
AUUGAACGCUGGCGGCAGGCCUAACACAUGCAAGUCGAACGAGUGGCGGACGGGUGAGCAAUGUCUGGGAAACUGCCUGAUGGAGGGAGAUAAGUACUGGAAAACGUAGCUAAUACUGCUUACCAUCGGUUGUGCCCCGAUGGGAUUAGCUAGUCGGGGAGGUAAAGGCUCACCUAGGGAACGAUCCCUAGCUGGUCUGAGAGGAUGACCGGCCACACGGGAACUGAGACACGGUCCAGACUCCUACGGGAGGCAGCAGUGGGGAAUAGUGCACAAUGGGCGAAAGCCGGAUGCAGCCACGCCGCGUGUGUGAAGAAGGCCUUCGGGUUGUAAAGUACUUUCAGCGGAGAAGCGUUACCCGCAGAGAAAGCACCGGCUAACUCCGUGCCAGCAGCCGCGGUAAUAC